AUGAUGCCACCCAACCGCCGCCGCCUCCUUGCUCGGCUUCUUGCCAUCCUCACGUUAUUGCUGCUAAUCGUCGGUGGCCAUGCAGGCCGUGGUGGAAGAGAUUUAUCAAGGCCACAAUCAUUUACGUACAACAUGUUAAGGAAAACAAGCAUAUCUGAAAAUAUAAGACAGGUGAUGGGCUUCCGGCUUCUGGCUUCGAGGAUGUUUCCCCUUCGAGGAUCCUAUGCGGCCAACCCUGGCAUAUUUCCCCUUCGUCGUUCGCCUUGGAAAUCAAAGCUGCCUGCUACUGGUGCUUGU
rnacentral:rRNA from 1 species